AUCAUUUCUCAGCCUUUUGGCAAGACCAAGUGUAGUAUCUGUUCUUAUCAGAUAUUGGUAUCUGCAGGCACUCCUGGAACAAAUCCCCCCACGGGAUAUGGGAUAUGGAGAGACAACUGUACUUGUUUCCAUAUCUGCUUAUCUCAACCAGAGGACCUUGUACAGUACCAGAACCCAAUAGGUCUUUGACU
rfam:Gorilla gorilla gorilla genomic chromosome, chr1, whole genome shotgun sequence